rfam:Heterocephalus glaber contig185836, whole genome shotgun sequence.
AGGGAUGUAGCUCAGCGGCACAGCGCCUGCCUGGCAAGCACGAGGUCCUGAGUUCGAUUCCCAGUACCAAUA